rnacentral:rRNA from 1 species
GACGAACGCUGGCGGCGUGCUUAACACAUGCAAGUCGAACGGAAAGGCCCUGCUUUUGUGGGGUGCUCGAGUGGCGAACGGGUGAGUAACACUUGAGUAACCUGCCCUUUACUUUGGGAUAACUUCAGGAAACUGGGGCUAAUACCGGAUAGGAGCUCCUGCUGCAUGGUGGUGGUUGGAAAGUUUCGGCGGUUGGGGAUGGACUCGCGGCUUAUCAGCUUGUUGGUGGGGUAGUGGCUUACCAAGGCUUUGACGGGUAGCCGGCCUGAGAGGGUGACCGGCCACAUUGGGACUGAGAUACGGCCCAGACUCCUACGGGAGGCAGCAGUGGGGAAUAUUGCACAAUGGGCGGAAGCCUGAUGCAGCAACGCCGCGUGCGGGAUGACGGCCUUCGGGUUGUAAACCGCUUUCGCCUGUGACGAAGCGUGAGUGACGGUAAUGGGUAAAGAAGCACCGGCUAACUACGUG